UAGGGAAUCUUCCACAAUGGACGCAAGUCUGAUGGAGCAACGCCGCGUGAGUGAAGAAGGUCUUCGGAUCGUAAAACUCUGUUGUUAGAGAAGAACACGAGUGAGAGUAACUGUUCAAUGUGUGACGGUAUCUUACCAGAAAGGAACGGCUAAAUACGUGCCAG
rnacentral:rRNA from 1 species